rnacentral:rRNA from 1 species
UUCGUAGGUGGUGCGGCAAGUUGGAAGUGAAAUCUCUGGGCUUAACUCAGAGGCUGCUUUCAAAACUGCCGUGCUCGAGUGCGGGAGAGGCCAGUGGAAUUGCAGGUGUAGCGGUGAAAUGCGUAGAUAUCUGCAGGAACACCCGUGGCGAAGGCGGCUGGCUGGACCGCAACUGACACUGAGGAACGAAAGCUAGGGAGCAAACA